AAGGACUAAUUUAGACUUGUUUUAGUGAUUUUGCUCCUGAGUCUGACAUUGUAGAAGGACUAUUCUUGCAUCAGAUUGGAUUUUGCAUCCGACUCUGACAUCGUAGAAGGACCAUUCUUGCAUCAGAUUGGAUUUUGCACCUGAGUCUGACAUUGUGGAAGGACCAUUCUUGCAUCAGAUUGGAUUUUGCAUCUGAGUCUGACAUCGCAGUAGAACCAUUCUCGCAUCAGAUUGGAUUUUGCAUCCGAGUCUGACAUCGUAGAAGCACCAUUCUUGCAUCAGAUUGGAUUUUGCAUCCGAGUCUGACAUCGUAGAAGGACCAUUCUUGCAUCA